rnacentral:rRNA from 1 species
AUUGAACGCUGGCGGCAUGCCUAACACAUGCAAGUCGAACGGUAACAGGCCUUCGGGCGCUGACGAGUGGCGGACGGGUGAGUAAUACGUAGGAAUCUGCCUUUUAGUGGGGGAUAACUCGGAGAAAUCCGGGCUAAUACCGCAUACGCACUACGGUGGAAAGCAGGGGAUCGCAAGACCUUGCGCUAAUAGAUGAGCCUACGUCGGAUUAGCUUGUUGGUAGGGUAAUGGCCACCAAGGCGACGAUCCGUAGCUGGUCUGAGAGGACGACCAGCCACACUGGGACUGAGACACGGCCCAGACUCCUACGGGAGGCAGCAGUGGGGAAUAUUGGACAAUGGGGGCAACCCUGAUCCAGCAAUGCC